AGUGAACGCUGGCGGUAGGCCUAACACAUGCAAGUCGAACGGCAGCACAGUAAGAGCUUGCUCUUACGGGUGGCGAGUGGCGGACGGGUGAGGAAUACAUCGGAAUCUACUUUUUCGUGGGGGAUAACGUAGGGAAACUUAUGCUAAUACAGCAUACGACCUACGGGUGAAAGCAGGGGAUCUUCGGACUUUGCGCGAUUGAAUGAGCCGAUGCCGGAUUAGCUAGUUGGCGAGGUAAAGGCCCACCAAGGCGACGAUCCGUAGCUGGUCUGAGAGGAUGAUCGGCCACACUGGAACUGAGACACGGUCCAGACUCCUACGGGAGGCAGCAGUGGGGAAUAUUGGACAAUGGGCGCAAGCCUGAUCCAGCCAUACCGCGUGGGUGAAGAAGGCCUUCGGGUUGUAAAGCCCUGUUGUUGGGAAAGGAAAGCAGCAGGUUAAUACCCCGCUGUUCUGACGGUACCCAAAGAAUAAGCACCGGCUAACUUCGUG
rnacentral:rRNA from 1 species